rnacentral:misc_RNA from 1 species
GAAUGAAGAACGCAGCGAAAUGCGAUACGUAAUGUGAAUUGCAGAAUUCAGUGAAUCAUCGAAUCUUUGAACGCAUAUUGCGCUCUUUGGUAUUCCGAAGAGCAUGCUUGUUUGAGUAUCAGUAAACACCUCAAAGCUUUUGGAUUUUUUAAUCGAAAAGCUUUGGACUUGAGCAAUCCCAACACCAAUCUUUUUGAGAUCGGUGGCGGGUUGCUUGAAAUGCAGGUGCAGCUGGACAUUCUCCUGAGCUAAAAGCAUAUUCAUUUAGUCCCGUCAAACGGAUUAUUACUUUUGCUGCAGCUAACAUAAAGGGAGUUUGACCGUAUUGGCUGACUGAUGCAGGAUUUCACAAGGGUCGGCAACGAUUCUUGUUAAACUCGAUCUCAAAUCAAGUAAGACUACCCGCUGAACUUAAGCAUAUCAAUAAGCGGAGGA